GUGGGGAAUAUUGGACAAUGGGCGCAAGCCUGAUCCAGCCAUGCCGCGUGAGUGAUGAAGGCCCUAGGGUUGUAAAGCUCUUUCACCGGAGAAGAUAAUGACGGUAUCCGGAGAAGAAGCCCCGGCUAACUUCGUGCCAGCAGCCGCGGUAAUACGAAGGGGGCUAGCGUUGUUCGGAAUUACUGGGCGUAAAGCGCACGUAGGCGGACAUUUAAGUCAGGGGUGAAAUCCCGGAGCUCAACUCCGGAACUGACUUUGAUACUGGGUGUCUGGAGUAUGGAAGAGGUGAGUGGAAUUCCGAGUGUAGAGGUGAAAUUCGUAGAUAUUCGGAGGAACACCAGUGGCGAAGGCGGCUCACUGGUCCAUUACUGACGCUGAGGUGCGAAAGCGUGGGGAGCAAACAGGAUUAGAAACCCUAGUAGUCC
rnacentral:rRNA from 1 species